UAGCGACAGGCCUAACACAUGCAAGUCGAGGGCAGCACAAGGAGCAAUCUGAGGUGGCGACCGGCGCACGGGUGAGUAACACGUAUGCAACCUGCCUGUAAGCGGGGAAUAACCCGUUGAAAGACGGACUAAUACCGCAUAAUACUAAAUUACUGCAUGGUAAUUUAUUUAAACAUUUAUGGCUUACAGAUGGGCAUGCGCAUGAUUAGCUAGUUGGAGAGGUAACGGCUCCCCAAGGCAACGAUCAUUAGGGGUUCUGAGAGGAAGGUCCCCCCACACUGGUACUGAGACACGGACCAGACUCCUACGGGAGGCAGCAGUGAGGAAUAUUGGUCAAUGGACGAGAGUCUGAACCAGCCAAGUCGCGUGCAGGAAGAAUUGUCCUAUGGAUUGUAAACUGCUUUUGCAGGGGAAUAAAGUGCAUCACGUGUGAUGUUUUGUAUGUACUCUGCGAAUAAGGAUCGGCUAACUCCGUGCCAGCCGCGGC
rnacentral:rRNA from 1 species